GACGAACGCUGGCGGCGUGCUUAACACAUGCAAGUCGAACGGAAAGGCCCUGCUUUUGUGGGGUGCUCGAGUGGCGAACGGGUGAGUAACACGUGAGUAACCUGCCCUUGACUUUGGGAUAACUUCAGGAAACUGGGGCUAAUACCGGAUAGGAGCUCCUGCUGCAUGGUGGGGGUUGGAAAGUUUCGGCGGUUGGGGAUGGACUCGCGGCUUAUCAGCUUGUUGGUGGGGUAGUGGCUUACCAAGGCUUUGACGGGUAGCCAGCCUGAGAGGGUGACCGGCCACAUUGGGACUGAGAUACAGCCCAGACUCCUACGGGAGGCAGCAGUGGGGAAUAUUGCACAAUGGGCGGAAGCCUGAUGCAGCAACGCCGCGUGCGGGAUGACGGCCUUCGGGUUGUAAACCGCUUUCGCCUGUGACGAAGCGUGAGUGACGGUAAUGGGUAAAGAAGCACCGGCUAACUACGUG
rnacentral:rRNA from 1 species